rnacentral:lncRNA from 7 species
UGAGGGAGCUCUUUUUUUGUCAGUGUGUGCGAUCCACUGUGUCUCCUGCAAACCAAGUGCUGUCCAUGGUAUAGUGAUGAAUUUGCUGGUGGUGGCUGCUGCCUCUGCAUUUCUGACCAGAGUUUCCGGGACGGAUGUGAAAAAAAUGGCCUCAGGCAUGGAUAUGAUGGAAGGAACGCGGUGAGCAAGGUCCAAUGAGAGAGGGCAGGGAGGUGAAGCCGGGGCUGCACCUAGUGUUGGGUGGUGGCUGCUCGUCCGUGGUUGGUUUGUGUGUCUCUUGCAGGGAGGUGAAGCCAGGGGCUGCACCUAGUGUUGGGUGGUGGCUGCUCGUCCGUGGUUGGUUUGUGUGUCUCUUGCAGGGUGGCAGAUGGCCAUGCAUUGUGUUGGCGUGUUUGUUGCAGGUCCUUGUUUUCAUUACCUGAAAGAGUAAGGUAAUGGGAGACGUGCGACUGCUCUCCUGGUAAGGUCAUUUAUGCCACCCUUUCUUCAUGCUGUUUUUCCUGGGGCUGAAAUUUACAUUUCUGGUCUUUGAAGGCAGCUCUUCUGUCAGUGUGUGCAAUCCACUGUGGCUCCUGCAUCCCAAGUGCUGGCCGUGGUACAGUGAUGAAUUUGCUGGUGUUGGCCGCUGUCUCUGCAUUUUUGUCCUG